UCUUCGAUCCGGAAAGACAUUCCCAUAAAUACGAGUAAAAAUUUUUAGCAACAUGUCGAGGAAAGUGUGUGCUGAGCAAGUUUUGCAGUUCAUUUUCGAUGCGCGCGAGCCAGUGCCGCGUAGCCGUUUGAUCACGAUUUUCUCCCGAGAUCCUGCAGAUGAGGCGGGUAAGAAGGAGCUGGACACCAUCCUGUCCACCGCUAUGGAGUUGGGACUUGUCCUGGAAACUAACGACUGCUUCUGUAGCUGCGAGCACGCUGACGUAGCAGAGGAGCAGUCAGAACUCGAGCAGAGCGCUGGACACCAGUAACCAAAUAAUAGCAGCAUUAACAAAAAAAAAAAAAAAGAAAAAAAGAAACUAUUGGACAUUGGCAUUGCGGUUUGCUAACGUUCUUCGUAAUAUUGUAAAAGUUUGGUAAUGAAAAAGACACUGGUAUUACAUCAAAAGGGUACAAAAAUAAUAUUAAAAAAAAAAUGGUUACAAGUUUUAAAUUCUGAUAAUCUGAUACAUCAGACGGAAUUUGUUGUUGUACUCUAUUGGAGACUUUCCAUAUGCGGCUAGACUGCGAAAGUUGUUCACAAUUAUAUCAUAGUUUGGCGAUGAAAUGAAACUUCAAUAAAAUCGAAUGCGUAAAAGAAAUCGAAAA